CUACGUGCCAGCAGCCGCGGUAAUACGUAGGUCCCGAGCGUUGUCCGGAUUUAUUGGGCGUAAAGCGAGCGCAGGCGGUUAGAUAAGUCUGAAGUUAAAGGCUGUGGCUUAACCAUAGUACGCUUUGGAAACUGUUUAACUUGAGUGCAAGAGGGGAGAGUGGAAUUCCAUGUGUAGCGGUGAGAUGCGUAGAUAUAUGGAGGAACACCGGUGGCGAAAGCGGCUCUCUGGCUUGUAACUGACGCUGAGGCUCGAAAGCGUGGGGAGCAAACAGGAUUAGAUACCCUGGUAGUCCACGCUGUAAACGAUGUCGAUUUGGGGAUUGGACUUUGAGCUUGGUGCCCGUAGCUAACGUGAUAAAUCGACCGCCUGGGGAGUACGGCCGCAAGGUUAAAACUCAAAUGAAUUGACGGGGGCCCGCACAAGCGGUGGAGCAUGUGGUUUAAUUCGAUGCAACGCGAAGAACCUUACCUACUCUUGACAUCCAU
rnacentral:rRNA from 1 species